ensembl:lncRNA
UCUGGUCAUUUCAAAUGACAGUGUAAACCAUCAAAUGUUUAAAUGAAACAGAUUAAGUCUGUCUUUUUUUGUGCGUGCUUCUUUUCUCAGAGUGUGCUGAUGGCUGGUACGGGCAGGGAUGUGAGCAGUUGUGUGUUUGUGAGAACGGAGCAGUGUGUGAUCAUGUCAGUGGAGCCUGCAGAUGUGGACCAGGCUGGACGGGCGAGCGCUGUGAGAAAAUGUGCCCUGCAGGAACCUUUGGCCAGAACUGUUCCCAAAUCUGCAACUGUUCUAGUCCACGUCAGAUGUGUGACCACAUCACAGGGAGGUGCACGUGCAUGCCUGGUUACUACGGAAACCACUGUGACACCAGAUGUCGGGAGGGAACAUAUGGUCCAAACUGCAAGCGCCGAUGCAGAUGUCUUAAUGGUGGACGCUGUGACUUUAAGACAGGAACAUGUGAGUGCCCCCCUGGACUACUGGGAGC